UUAUUUUAGUCAGACUAUGAUUGUAUGAAAGUUAAAAUAGCAUUUUAUCAGUUGAAGUUAAUGGGAUUAUAGUCAAAUUUAAGUGGAAGUUGAGGAUUCCUUCUUCGAAAGUAGCCAUUUCAUGCAUAAUUGUGAUUAUCAUUAUCGAAGCCUUCUCCCUCCUAUUUGGGGUUAGCUUUAUGAGUCUUGUUUUUCCGAUACUUUUUUUUAAGGCCCUAAUUCCAAGACCUUUUGGGUCUUCCUCUCAUACUCGUUUCAGGCCCUUUUAGCUAGAUCAAAGUUUCCCUACUUUUGGACAGUGUUUGGUCUUUGAUGCUCAUGAACAAACCAUCUCAAGUUCGUUAUUUAUCUUUUAUUAGGACUACCUACGAAUUGUUUCAUCUGAACUCAUUCUUAAUUCAAUCUUGUCGAGUCUUUCAACACAUCCAUCUCAACAUCCUCAUCUCUAAAAUAGUCAAUCUCUGUUCAUGUUACCUUUGUAACUGCACAACACUACUGACCACAUAGCAUAGCUGGUUGAAUAGUUGUGUUAUAAGAUUUGAAAUGAGAAUUUUCACGAUUUCUUGGCAAAAGUUCAAUGACUCAUGACCACUCAUAUGCUAAAUUGGUUCGUGUGUGGGAUGUGAGAGAUGCGUAAGGUGGACCCCCACCUUAUUGAUGUCAUGGCCCUUAAGUCAGCCAGUCCACUUAUCAGGGGCUAAACAAGUGUUAAAGCAAUGGCCGGCUUGAAAAAAGAAAGCCAGGUAUACAGUAUCUAUCAUUAGACAUGUAUGGCCUCCCUGUUGAGUAGAUGAGACUAUCCAUCUUAUGAAGUUCUUAAUUGUGAGGGAGUGCUGCACAGGUGUAGAGUGCUGGUUCGUUCAGCCUCACAGGUGGACUUACUGUUGCUCCUGAUUGCCAAGAAGCAGAGGGAAGAUUAUCUGCAACAAAUGGAUCUUUACAAACAGAAGAAGAAUGAGCAAAUUCAGCAAGUAGUAAGAAGAAGGGAAUGUGGGUAAAUACAGGUAAAUCCCUUUACUAUUGUAUUGCAUUGUAUGGUUUAUGAAAUUACCAGACUAUUAAAAAACUUCUUGUAGAGAUCUAGUUUAUGAGAUUGUCUUUUCAUUUUAAGACGACAAUGUCUUUUUCUUUUUCUUUUUUUUUUUUGCCAGAUGGAAGUGGAAGUUUCAUUCCAACAAGUAGAUGCAGAAAAGUAAAUUAUUUUUCUCAACGCAAGUCCUCUCUAUAACUGAUUGAAAAUAUAGAUGGUACUCUUAUUUUUUGGUAAUAUUAUUUUUCAAAAUAUAGAAAAUAUAGACCAUGCAGGUAUCCUUGACUGUCUUUCAUUAUUUAGACCAAAACAGUGAUACAAAGGGAAUGUGGGUAAAUACAGGAAAAACACAUUCUGUCCUUUCAUCAAUUUUGUUACCUUAAACAUAGUUAUAUUUAACAAUGAUAACUUACUGCAAAUAAUUGUGGCUGAG